AACGAACGCUGGCGGCAUGCCUAACACAUGCAAGUCGAACGAAGCCUUCGGGCUUAGUGGCGCACGGGUGCGUAACGCGUGGGAAUCUGCCCCUUGCUUCGGAAUAACAGUUAGAAAUGACUGCUAAUACCGGAUGAUGUCUUCGGACCAAAGAUUUAUCGGCAAGGGAUGAGCCCGCGUAGGAUUAGGUAGUUGGUGGGGUAAAGGCCUACCAAGCCGACGAUCCUUAGCUGGUCUGAGAGGAUGAUCAGCCACACUGGGACUGAGACACGGCCCAGACUCCUACGGGAGGCAGCAGUGGGGAAUAUUGGACAAUGGGGGGAACCCUGAUCCAGCAAUGCCGCGUGAGUGAUGAAGGCCUUAGGGUUGUAAAGCUCUUUUACCAGGGAUGAUAAUGACAGUACCUGGAGAAUAAGCUCCGGCUAACUCCGUGCCAGCCGCCGCCGUAAUAC
rnacentral:rRNA from 1 species